rnacentral:lncRNA from 1 species
GGAAAUUCUCUCCAACUCAAACAUACAAAUACCACUGAUACAGAACACCCUGCACAGUCUGCAGCAGCCUCUUCGUUAUCCCAACCUUAGAGGGAUUCUUUCAACUGUUGACGCACACUGUAUAUAGGAGCUACCCAGUCGACAACAUUCCCAGGCAUCCCUCACUUGCUCACAGGUACCUUAUAUGCUUUCUCACAUGAACCAAUUUAUUGGAUAUUUUUCUCCAUAUAUUUGUUUAUUACUCCUAUUUUUCACAAAGGAUCAUAGAACUCACCAAAAAUAACAAACUCUAAUCACAAUAAGAUAUUGAGAUACAAAAUUUUAACAAUUGCGAGAAGAGCUUUUGAUGAAGUCUAUAUCUUCAUGACUUUAAAGCUUGUGUUUGCCUCAUUAUCACAUCAAAAAAUGUAUGCAAUUUGUUCUGCAAAUGCAAAUGAAAUGUACAGGUAAAAAUUAGAAAGAAAUCAGUGGUAGGAAGAGGAAGAAUACAACAUUUGCCUCUACAGCUGCUUUGCUAAGAAAUAAGCGCAAUACACCUGCUUAUACAAAAGCAAAAGUGAUUUAAUGGCCAAUCAAAUUAAUCUUUCAUAUAAUUUAAUUCAUGAGUCCUUUCGUUUGUUCCAUAUGUUGUUCUAACUUAUUUCCUAUUGCAAUUGUUCAAAUUCAAUAUUCCUAAAUAGUAACUCUAUUUCACAGGAGAUUGCCCACAGCUAAAACAUAGAAAUAACGCUGAUACAGAACAGUGUGCAGGCUGUGCAUCUGACUCUUCAUUAUGACCACCUUAGAGGGAUUGCUUCCACUCCUCACGCAAACCGUAUAUACCGGCUAGCCAGUCCACAAGAUUGACACACAUCCCACACGUUCUCACAGGUACGUUAUGUGCUUUUUCUCAUAAUGUACACAAUUUCAGAUACCAGUGAUAUACAAUGGCCUGCACCGUAUGCAGCAGCAUCUUCAUUACCGUCACCUUAGAGCGAUUGCUUCAACUGCCAACACAAAUCGUAUAUACAGCCUGUGUUCUUGGCUCUUUUCUGUUUGUCUACAUCUCUCUCAAGCUUUGGUGAAGGUUUCUGUUUAUCUCCGACGAACUGCGCAGGUUCUUCAUCGUCGUUUAACCGGAAUUUCAAUGUCCACUCCAUCUCUUCUUUACUGUUUUCUCUUUCUCUACAGACUUUAAAUCUGUCGCUGAAGCUUUGCUGAAGAUUUCUGUUUCUCUCCUACGAGCUGCGCAGGUACUUCUUCAUCGUUUAAGCGACCCUAAUUUCUCUCCCUCUGAACUCUAAGUUCUACCUCUGAACUCUUCAAUGGCGAAUCCAUCUGUUCUUUACUGUUUUCGGUUUGUCUGCAGCCUAUAAAUUCCUCUCUGAACGUUUCUUCAACAUUUCGCUUUCUGUCGGAUGACCUGCUCAGGUACUCCAUCUGUUCUUUACUGUUUUCUAUUUCUAUAGAGCCUUUAAAUCUGUCUCUCAACCUUUCCUGAAGAUUUAUGUUUCUCUCGGACAACCUGCGUAGGUACUUCUUCAUGGUUUAAGUAAAAUUUACAUGUUUCUUCCAUCCUUUGCUUACACUCACAUAGUACGCAAAAAACUACAUAAGAAAAAGAAACACUAUAAUACAAAAUACAACUUUCAUCCUUUACUUUAGUUUUGUUUCCGAAUGUCAAUUCAAAGGAGAAAGCAUUGUUUAGUUGCUGUUUCUUUUGUUACUUCCUAUGUCCUGUAUUCCUACACAAGGACAGAAAAUUUCUACAAACUUGCCAAACUUUUGUACUAUCUUCAAAAUCCAAACUAACAAAAUUUAUUGUCUUUUCCCACAGAUUUUCUACAACGUAUUCGUUUGUGUGUGAAUCAUACAAAAGGUCAUCAUUUGUUUCUGCUACAUGUUUGCUGUUUAUAUAUUUACCCCCACCAAAUAUAUUUGAAAGCUGUAUCCUUCCUUUGCAUCUAAUUUUUGCAGCAAAUCUUUUUUUCCCGCUUUGUCUCAAUGGGCUUACAUGGAUAUUCCCGCAUUCAUCUCAACCUUAGUUUUCCUGCUUAAACGUUUUCUCAUUUCUGACAUAUGGUCUAUCCUCACGUGUUCGGUAUUCACAGGUUUUAUAUGACUUCGCUUUCAUUUCCCUCAAUACUUGUCCACACAAAUUCAUUGCCAAAAGGAAAGAAAAUAUUCCCUGUAAUAUAAUUACUCAUUCAUUUCUUGUGUUCCGUAUGUAGUUGUAGCUUAUUUCAUAUUCACUUUGCCACAAUUCAAUAUUCCUAAAUACUCACUUUGUUUCGCAGGAAAUUCUCUCCAACUCAAACAUACAAAUACCACUGAUACAGAACACCCUGCACAGUCUGCAGCAGCCUCUUCGUUAUCCCAACCUUAGAGGGAUUCUUUCAACUGUUGACGCACACUGUAUAUAGGAGCUACCCAGUCGACAACAUUCCCAGGCAUCCCUCACUUGCUCACAGGUACCUUAUAUGCUUUCUCACAUGAACCAAUUUAUUGGAUAUUUUUCUCCAUAUAUUUGUUUAUUACUCCUAUUUUUCACAAAGG